rnacentral:rRNA from 1 species
UACGUGGGGGGCAAGCGUUGUUCGGAAUUACUGGGCGUAAAGAGCUUGUAGGCGGCCAACUAAGUCGGAUGUGAAAUCCCCAGGCUCAACUUGGGAACUGCAUCCGAUACUGGAUGGCUUGAAUUCGGGAGAGGGAUGCAGAAUUCCAGGUGUAGCGGUGAAAUGCGUAGAUAUCUGGAGGAAUACCGGUGGCGAAGGCGGCAUCCUGGACCGACAUUGACGCUGAGGAGCGAAAGCUAGGGGAGCAAACGGG